AAGAAAAAAAACAUACCAAGGAGUAUUAUAAAAGAAUUUCAGGAUUCCCUAGUGUGAUAGGUGCAAUAGAUGGAACACAUAUUAAAAUUGAUAAGCCAAAAGAAAGAGAGACCGAUUAUUGCAACAGAAAAGAUUAUUUUUCUAUUAUAUUGCAAGGAACAUGCAAUGAAAAAAAAAUUUAUAGACAUAUUUAUUGGAUAUCCAGGAUCUAUUCAUGAUGCACGUGUCUUCCAAAACUCUUCAUUGUAUAAUUUUUUAUAUAGUGAUGAUGAAGGCAAUUAUUUAGAUUAUUUAACAGUCAGUAGUACAUGUAUAUUUACUUAUUUACAACUACUGUUUGUUUUAUAGAUAGCUAUAUAUUAGGAGAUAGUGCAUAUCCAUUAUCAGAACGUGUAAUGGUGCCAUAUAAAGAUAAUGGACAUCUAACAUCGGCACAGAAACACUUCAAUAGAAAACACAGCCAAUGCCGUGUAUCUAUUGAACACACGUUCGGAUUGUUGAAACAAAGAUGCCGGCAGUUGUAUCACCUGAAGCUUCGUGGCCCAGAAAGAAUUUGUCAUUUCAUUCGUGCAUGUUGUGUUUUACACAAUUUGGCCGAUGAAGAAAACAUAAAUGUUUUACAACAUGAUUCAGUGGAUGAUGUGCAACCAGCAACGCAGGACGAAAAAGAGAACAGAAAUAGAGGAACAGUGUUAAGAAACGAAAUUUGUAAUUAUUUAUUUAUGAAUAGAUAAAAAAUUCAAUCUCA